AAACCGAACGGUGCGUCCGCGUAGUAUCAUGCCGAAAGGUCGUAUUAUGAGGAAAGUCCGGGCUUCACAGGGCAGGAUAACGGAUAACGUCCGCCGAAGGCAACUUCAGGGAAAGUGCAACAGAAAUAUACCGCCUCUUUUGAGGUAAGGAUGGAAAGGCGAGGUAAGAGCUCACCGGCACACUGGCGACUUUGUGCUAAUGUAAACCCUAUCCGAAGCAACACCGUCCGCGGGAGGAGAGUAAUCUCAUGUCUGCCCGACAGCAUCCCGCAGGUGGCACGCGGUACCCAAUCCGCGGAGCGUCAUGGCAACAUGCCGUCACAGAUAGAUGGACGCAGCUUUUGCGGAUUUUGUUCCGCAAAUUCACAAAACCCGGCUUACAAGUUCGGUUUUCUU
rnacentral:RNase_P_RNA from 1 species